CACUUUUUUUUACAAAAAAUCAGUAAAAGCAUGCUGCCAUACAACCAUUCUCGGUUAAUGCAAUAUUCAUUAAGUGCAUUACUCAAAGGACACAACCAAAUAGCUAUUGACCAGUUUCGAUCCCACAACUAAUCGGUUUUCGGAGCGCGAGGUAAUGAUUAAGAGGGACAGACGGGGGCAUUCGUACUGUGCCGUUAGAGGUGGAAUUCUUGGAUCGGCGCAAGACGAACGACUGCAAAAGCAUUUUCCAAGAAUGUUUUCUUUAAUCAAGAGCGAAAGUCAGCGGUUCGAAGGCGGCCUAUUCGGCCGGGGAAAACCCCAAUAUCACCCACCUGUAAUCGCUUAGCGAUAUCCACGGCUUCCACCCCACUAGUGGCUUCGAAGCCCCGAGUAUCUAUGAUGAACUCAUGCGCGACGAACCCAUUCUUACCCGUGAACAAUAUCUGGAAUAUGAAUACAGGCAUUAGAAGAAAUUCCUAAAUAUCAUGAUACAUGAGUUAAUUCAUAUGAAACUAAUAUUUUAAUAAUUCCU
rnacentral:ncRNA from 1 species